rnacentral:lncRNA from 1 species
UUUCUAAUAAAGAUGGAAAUGGAACAUGGUGUAUACCAUGCACUCCUGAGGCUAGGAUUCGAGAUGUAUAUCUCGCUCAUCCAAGUUCUCGCCAUCACUCAAAACACAUCCAACCAAUCAAACUCUUUUCUCGCCGUUGUGCGAUUAAUCAAAAACUUUUUCAUAAAUGAAAGAUAUAUUGUCUUAAGAGAUACAAAACAAUGUUUCGGCCACGAUUGUUGAGUAGAGAUAAAUGACGCUUUUCCGGAUGUAGAUUUAUAAAUCCGUUCGAUGUGUGGUAUGCGUUCACUCCUCAUCUGUUUUGGGUAAAAUAAUGUUUUCAUCAAUUAAUACAGUAUAGCUUUCGCUAAAAUCGACCAACAAACAAACAUUUUUCUACCCAGAACUACGUAAGCCUUGAUUUCUCUUUUGAGAUACGUAGGAGCAGGAUUCAUAAAUCUUGUUAGGCCCACUAAUAAAAAACUUAGGUUUAGUCCUUCGUCAAAAAUCCAAAAACAUUUUCCUUUCUUUUAUUCUUUCUUUCCCAUUUAAUAAUUCGAAAAGCCUAACAUUUCAACUAACACUAACGCACACAACUGACCUAAUGGUUCCCGUUGAGUACAACGGACGUGAGAGGUGCUAAUACCUUCCCCUUGCGUAAUCGACUCCCGAACCCUGAUAUUGGUUGCGAUGACCAUAUCUUAUCCUUUCUUUUUGUCUUGGGUUUUAUCGAUAUUUCCCCUUUCCUUUUUAGGAAUAAAUAAAGUUCGGUGGCGACUCUGUUCAGUCCAUCAUUGCGAGCGUGCGAUCGCGCUUCGCUUUGAAGUCGUAUCCCCAUUUUUUCGAGGUGCGACACCCACUGAGUUAUUUCCUUAUGGAUGAUCAUUAUUUCAGUUUCCUCCCCAAUUGAUUAUCAGGAUGGAACCACUCCCCUUGAGUUAUAUCCUCAUUGGGAUCAGUCUUUAAUUGACCGUUUCUUUCUAGAUCUUACCUAGAUAGACACCUUUGGUCCCCUGAGAGUCUAUUACCCAGUAACUGGUAAUAUUCUUCUCAGUUUCCAAGUAUGUCACUCUUGCCCAAUACCCGGCAAGAGCAACCUUGUUUCCCCAGCGGAUUCGUUUUUACAUUUCCCCAGGAACUAUAUCUUUGGAUGUUCAUCCUAACCGAUGAUUGAUAUUUUCUUCCCUUGCUUUGAGUUUAUCCUUGAUAUGUUCAUCUUAACCGAUGACGGAUAUUCUCUUUGUGGUAUUCUACCCAGUAAAAAGGUAGUUGUAAUCCCUAUUUUAAUUCCCUAGAGAGUUAAUCCUUGAUAUGUUCACCCUAACCGGUGAUGGGUUUCCUUCUCUUUGUGGUCUUCUGCCCAGUAACCGGUAGUUAUAAAUCCAGCUUUUUCCCAUUUUUGCAGAGUCUAUCCUUGAUAUGUUCAUCCUAACUGGUGACGGAUAUUCUCUUGUCGGUAUUUUAUCCUGUAUCCGAUAGAUGUAAUUCCUACUUUUUCAGACAGUUUAUCCUUGAUAUGUUCAUCCUAACCAGUGACAGAUAUCCUUCCUAAUGUCCCCAGGCAAGUCUAUCCUUGAUAUGUUCAUCCUAACCGAUGACGGAUUUUCUUUCCUCUGAGUUUAUCCUUGAUAUGUUCACUUUAACCAGUGAUGGAUAUUCUCUCUUUGGUCUUCUGCCUAGUAACCGGUAGUUAUAAAUCCUAUUUUGGCUUCUCCCCAGCAGGUUACUCUUACCCAGUAACCGGUAAUGAAUACACCUCCUGGUUGCCCUCAACGAGCAAUCCUUGAUACGUUUACUCUAACUAGUAACGGAUGUCCUCCCUUUCAGAAUUUGUUAUCCCCUUACCCAGUAACCGGUAGCGGAUAAUAUAAUUUUGUUCCUCCUGUGUUGAAGAUCAUUUCUUCCCCAGUUGAGCUUGUGUGCGUAUUUCUUCAAUGAAAUCGCCUUUCCCUGCUUGGUUCGAGUAUUUCAGCUUUGUUCUGAUCUACCUAUUUCCCCUGCAGAUGUCCUUUUACUCCCCGACUGAGUCUUUCCAUUGAUUUAUUUUCAUGGAAUUCCUCGAGUCCCCCGACAGUUUAAAAGUUGUAGCCUGGCCUACGCAUGACCGUUUUUAUCCCCCCAGAGUCUCUGUCUCCCUAGUGAGUUUUCCCUACGGAAUGCGUUAUACUCCUGCGGACUUUCAGUCUCUCCGGAUUCUUUUCCUUUGUGGCAACAUUUUCCCCAUAGAGAUUAUUUUUAACAUUCAUAUCAUAUGCAUCAUGAGGUCUCUUAGGGACCAAAAUUUGCUUCUAUAUGUUGUUAUUUAAGUCCGUUCUACUGAGUCGAUGCGAAGAUUUUAACCUUUAUCUCCUCAGCUAGAACGUCCUUAAAUAGGGGCAGUUGUAAGACCCCAAUUUUGACCCUAAGAUCCCUCAUGAUAUCUCAUCAUAUGCAUUGACAUUGGGAUCACAUCUUGGCAUCCUCCUCAUCCCUUAUUCAUUGGGUUUGCAUUGGAAGAGAUCACCAAACACAUUUGAUUAUAUCAUACUUCAUCUUUCUUUGCUUACUAACCAAAAUACCAAAAAUAUGUCUUUGUAUACUCUAACUCUUUUGUAGGUAGGGCACAGGCUCACCUUUGUUCUAUCAAGCUCAUAUAUAGGGUUUAAAACCCUCAAUGCAAGGAGUUCAAUCAAGAAUUGGUUUACUAUGGCUCUAAGUAUCAUAUAUGGAUCCCCAUGAUCUUCACAUGUUAUUUUGAUCAAUAAAUCAUCAAGAGUUUGGAGUUUGUUUGCCUUGGAAACCCUAAUUCAUCUGGGUAUCUUGUGUAACUUAUUCAACAAGCUUCUUCAACCAUUGAUCAAAUAUUUCAAGGGAUACUUCAUAUGUCAUCAUAUUAUGCAUAUUGUAUCCUCCAUGACUCCCAAAAGUCAAGAGAAUAGCAAGCUAGCAAGUUGGUUCAUGGUGGUUGACCAAAAGAAUUCAACUAACCAAAACUGGGGUUCCCUAGACGUUAUCUCCUACAAUUUUUAUCAUAUGAAAAUGAUUACAAGUGAAAAGUUACUCUAAAUGACAUUUCAAACAACUUUCAUGUUGAGUUCUAGAGCUAGUUUUUCUUGGAAAGUCAUUUUUUAUGGUGAACGAUUAUAUGUCAUUUUGUCUAAACCCUAAUUUGAAAGUCAAUUUCCCAAGAUCAUAACUUGCUCAAUUUUUAUGAGAUGAAAUCCAUUCAAGUUGAAUGAUCAAAUUCAAGAUGUCUACUUCAACUUUGAUGUUUGGAGGAAGAGCAAAUUUAACUUUUAAAUGCAUGUGAUGUGAGGAGACAUUAUAGGUCAUUUUGGACCAAUACCAUUGAACAAGUGAUUUCCCUCAACUUCUAAAAUGCAUACCUCCUUCAAGCUAAAUCCAAAUAAGGUUAAAUUUGUGACAAAUUUGAAGGAAUUUGAGAGAGCUACAACUUUGAUGAAGGAACUUUUCUCAUUUGAAGCCCAUAGAAAAAGUUACUCAAGGUGGAAGAAGUGAACAUAUGGCUUGACACUUAGAAAACAUUUUGAUAUGUUUGAUUUUCCAAACUUCCACCUCAAAAUUCAUCAUGAUCCAAGCUUCAAAUGAAAAAGUUUUCUACACGAAAGUUGUUCCUCUUGAUCUAACAUUUCCAAAAAGUCCAAUUUCAUCCUAUUUGGACAAAGUAUGAGUGACUUGCGCAUGGCUUAAAGUUGGAUCACCAUUUGGCAUUCUUGAACUUGCAUCCUCCAUACACAAAUGCAUGGCUUGCUAACAUGACUUCAGCAAUGUUUGUACACGAUCUUGGACCUGAUUGAAUGAUUACGUGGGCCUAUCACACGCCCAUGCAUCCAUGCAAAGGCAAUUGCUAUUUUUGGAGUUUUGAAACAAGUGUGAAAAUAUCAAAUGCUUUGGCUAUAAAUAGAACCCUCCAUGAUCAGAAUUGAGGACACUUGCGCGCCAGAUGAAAUUGAGGUCAGAUUCGAACUUCUGAGCAUUUUUACUUUAAAUUCAUGUCCUCCUUUUUUAUUUUGGUGAUGGUUGAAGGUGGACCAGUCUGGUGAGGUCCACCAGAGAAGAAGACCGGAGUUGUAGCUCCGGCGGUGCGUUGGCAUGUCUCAGACCAUAGGAUCCUCUCAUUUUGUUUUGAUCUCACGUGUUGGUUUUGAUUACCGUCCCUGCAAUGCAUUGACUUAGGUCUAUUGUGAAACGCGCGCUGAGAUCCACUUGAUUUGUCACCUCAAUUAAUAAGGGAGAUCAAGUGGUCCACGUUUUUUUAGCAUUUUCUGAUUUUCAUUUUAUUUGACUUAUUUUCAUUAACUCAUUAAUUUUAAUAUUGAUCCAAAAAAAUAUGAGACUUUCACCAAAAAAAAUUAAAUAAAUUUCUCUUUCAUUUUCUGAAUUAAAAUUAUUUUUUGGAUCAUUAUUAAUAUUUUUCAUGAUUUAAUUGUUUUUGUGCAUAUUUUUUAAUUGUUUAAAAAUACUUUUAAGUUUCCAAAAUUAAUGAAAUUUUUUCUCCAAGGUCCUUUGACCAUAUUUGACCUAUGAUAAAUCUCAUGGCCAUUUAUUUGGUGUUUUGAUGAGGUUUUAGGAUUUUGACCAACCAUAAUUUAAUUUAAUGCAUUUUUUAAUUGAUUUUAAUUGUUUAAUUGCAAUGUUUGAGCUUUUGGCAUGACUUGUUGAGCUUAUCAUUGUGUUGUUGGGUCUUGGUCAAGGUUGAUUUGACUUUGUUGAGGUAAAAUCAUUGGAUUUAGGGGAUGACAUUUCAUCUCCCAAAAUGAAUGAAUGAUUUUAAUUUGAUAAAAGUCCUCCUUUGACCAAUUUGUGUUGAUUCCAUUUCCCCUCCCUCUUCAUCUCAAUCCCAUUCUCUUCUCAUUCAUUUCGUGGACCUAUGAUAUCUCUAUAUCCUAAGGCUAGUUGAUUGCAAAAUCAACAUAAGUAUGGAUGAGAUUAGGUCCACCCCUUUUGCAUUUUCUUUUAAGUGUGAUAUGUUUUAGGAGUAUGAUUCAUAAUACCAUAUCUCUAACAUGCAUUCAAACUAAAAUUUCUAUUGCCCGAUCUCAAAUAGUUAUGACUUCUACAUAAGUUCAAUUACGAUUGCUUAACAUAACGCUAAAUCUUGACACAAAAGGCAAAGCAUUCUAGUAAGUGAGAUUGUAAGUCUCCCCCUUUCAUGGUAUUGUGUGGAAACUUGACAUAUUUUCCUUCCUUUGGAAGAUGUCUUGGUUCAAGGAUUCAUGCUUGUGAAUAGAGGGUUGAGUGUUCUCCAAAGAAUGGCUUAAACAAUUGAAAAGCAAAAGCAAUACUAACUUCUAAUCAACUAACAACUAACAUCUAAUUUCAAGUCAUUUACUUUUAUGCACUUUAAAUUCAAGUAUUUAUUCAUUUGCCAUUAUUCAUACCAUUUAACUUGUUUAUUUUAAUGUCAUUUUCACUUUGUUCACUUAAGCCAUACUUUGUGAUUAUAUUGUGAUUGUACAUACUUGUUUGUGUUUGUGGUCCUUUGACCUUAAUGUACAUAAUAACAACAAAAACCCUAAAAGGAAUUUGUGUGGAUUGUUGGAUUUGAUCUGAGACAUUGGACUUAGAAUUAGGCAACAUUCCCUAUGCAAAAGGAGUUGGCCAAUGCCAACUUUCAUGAAAUCAAAUGCUUGUGAAGUGAACUUUCAUCUGAUGCAAAUAUUGAAGAUCCAUUUGAGUUCAUCUGCAACACGAUUUUAAUGAACUGUUACUUUGAACCUGUAUCUAAUGCAUAUCUCUGAAUUCAUCUGAUACAUGGGAGAUUGUGAAGAAGAUCAUGAAGUUUCUAAGCUUGGAUGUGACUAUCUUUAUUUGAUGCAUUGUGUAACACCCCUUUUUCUACCCCAAAAUUCUUAACAUAUAAUCAGAGUAAAUAAGCAUGCAUAUAAACAAAAGGGCGUCACAUCGACGUUUUCAAAAACUAAAAGCUUUCAAAAACCAAACACCAUUCAUCAUCAAUACACAAUACACCUGGUCAUUUCAAAUAACAUAUAUCAAUUAUCAUGAAUAUUCAAGAAUAUGCGUUCACAGCGGAAAAGAAUGAAUACUCAUGCAUUUCAUACAAUGAUCCAUGUCUCAUACCAUGAUCAUCUCUCAAUAAUCUCCUCAAGAUAAAAUAAAACCAUAUCCAGAAUAUUUGGCACGAUGGCCUCUCCAACAGCAAUUUCAAAUAAAUAUGUUCACAAGUAAUAACGUAAUGCAUAUCCAAAUAAGAUAUGAGUUCAAUACUAACAAUCUACCCCGUGUUACAUGACCAGAGCAUUGACUCAUUACCUAGUCUUCAACUAAAAUACGGAAACUCUCUGGCUAAUCUCAAGUGAGCUACCGUCCACUUACUUCAGCAAUACUACUCCUGAGUAUCUGCACGAUACCCAUGUAAAGGUAACAUUCAAACAGAAAGGGUGAGAAUUCAAAUCAUUAUGAAGAAGUAUAAUAAGG